rnacentral:rRNA from 1 species
UACAGAGGUCUCAAGCGUUGUUCGGAUUCAUUGGGCGUAAAGGGUGCGUAGGCGGCACGGUAAGUCGGGUGUGAAAUUUCGAGGCUUAACUUCGAAACUGCAUUCGAUACUGCCGUGCUUGAGGACUGGAGAGGAGACUGGAAUUUACGGUGUAGCGGUGAAAUGCGUAGAGAUCAUGAGGAAGACCAGUGGCGAAGGCGGGUCUCUGGACAGUUCCUGACGCUGAGGCACGAAGGCCAGGGGAGCAAAACGGG